AUGAAGGCAAUGCAACAGUGUUGGUUAUCUAUUUGGCUAGUCAAACAUGAGGUGGUUCAUAGAUCUUUGGGCUUUGAUCAUCGAGGAAUAGAGACUUUACAAAUAAAAGCACGGGAUUGGGAUUCCAUUGCUGUCAUUUUAUGUGUAUAUGGUUACAAUUAUUUACGCUCCCAAUGUGCUUAUGAUAUAGCACCCGGUCGAUCUUUAGCUAGCGUCUAUCAUCUUACGAGAAUACAAUAUGGUAUAUAUAAUCCAGAAGAAGUCUGCAUAAAAGUCUUUGCCCAAAAGGAUAAUCCUAGAAUUCCGUCUAUCUUCUGGAUUUGGAGAAGUGCCGAUUUUCAAGAACGCGAAUCUUAUGAUAUGGUGGGAAUCUCUUAUGUUAAUCAUCCACGCCUUAAACGUAUCCUAAUGCCUGAAAGUUGGAUAGGCUGGCCCUUACAUAAGGAUUAUAUAACCCCCAAUUUUUAUGAAAUACAAGAUGCUCAUUGA
rnacentral:rRNA from 1 species